UAGGGCGAAAGCCUGAAGCAGCAACGCCGCGUGCGUGAUGAAGGUCUUCGGGAAUCGUAAAAGCGCUUUUCUAGGGAGAUGAGAAAGGACAGUAUCCCAGGAAUAAGUCUCGGCUAACUACGUGCCAGCAGCCGCGGUAAAACGUAGGAGGCAAGCGUUAUCCGGAUUCACUGGGCGUAAAGCGCGUGCAGGCGGUGCGGUAAGUUGGGCGUGAAAUCUCCCGGCUCAACUGGGAGAGGUCGUCCAAUACUACCGUACUUGAGAGCAGAAGAGGAAGAUGGAAUUCCCGGUGUAGUGGUGAAAUGCGUAGAUAUCGGGAGGAACACCAGUGGCGAAGGCGAUCUUCUGGUCUGUUUCUGACGCUCAGACGCGACAGCUAGGGUAGUAAACGGGAUUAGAGACCCCGGUAAUCCUAGCCGUAAACGAUGUGAACUUGGCGUUGGUGGGUUAAACUCCAUCAGUGCCGUAGCAAACGCGAUAAGUUCACCGCCUGGGGACUACGGCCGCAAGGUUA
rnacentral:rRNA from 1 species